rnacentral:rRNA from 1 species
UGCGUAGGCGGCUUGUUAAGUCAGAUGUGAAAGCCCCGGGCUUAACCUGGGAAUUGCAUUUGAUACUGGCAGGCUAGAGUAUGAUAGAGGGGGGUAGAAUUCCUGGUGUAGCGGUGAAUGCGUAGAUAUCAGGAGGAAUACCAGUGGCGAAGGCGGCCCCCUGGAUCAAUACUGACGCUGAGGUACGAAAGCGUGGGUAGCGAACA